GCAUUGGUAGUGCAACGGUUGAGAACACGCGUCUCCGCACAGAAAGAAAUGCGGGUUCAAACCCCGCCUGAGGCA